ACUGUUUUAUAUACAGAGAUCGCCAACAAACACACGUAUGUACACAAUGCAAACCUCGGGGGACCCCAAACGCGGGGGGUCCGGCCCCCUCCGCCAUUGGAUACCGAACGGUCAGACGAGUGGCGGGGUGGUUAGAAUUAAAAAAACAAAAAAAAUCUAAGAAAAAAAACACAGAAAUAGAAAAGCCUGGUGUGUGAAUAUAUCAUAUAGAAUUAUAUAGUGUAAUAUUUAUUAGCUGUACGCUAUAUACUGCACAAGAACCGCCCUCCGUCGCACCACCAAUAACACAA